rnacentral:RNase_MRP_RNA from 2 species
GGGACGAGUGAUGGAUCGCUUCGCAGCCUAUACACAGACAGACUCUCUUCUGUCCUUCAUCAAGCUGUGGGGAAAGUCUCCGGACACUGUGCACCAGAAGGGAAGAGCUAGCUCUCGAGCUAAGCUCUCUUGAUUCUUUGGUUCAAAAUGCUGGGCUGGGCUCCUUGUCAAGUCCGCUAGCGAGAACAGUAUCGCUAUAAAGCUCUCCUCGGAUGUCUCCGGCUCUCUGGAAGAGUUUUCAAGGCGGCAUGGCUUGUCGGAUGGAGGAGAAAUGCACUCCAGGUCGGGGGGUCUCGAGGAAAGCUCAAGUCUCCAAGCAGACUUUUAGCAGACCUCCUCGGUUUGGAUGCUACUCCUCGCUGACAUCUACUCGUCAUCGUCGUUGGCCUGACUAGCCACAGAGAUCAGGAUCGCUCCCAAGAGGCCAGAUACUUGUUCCUGACAACCCCAGGGGCUUCUUUUUCUUUUGCUUUAGUCCUUGACCAAGUCGACGAGCAGACAGUGACAAUGCUCGUGCCAGCCUCGUAGCUGUCUGCCGGUCAGCCAUUGUCGCCUCACAGCUCGUCGAGAUUGCGUCUGCUGCUGCAAAAGGGGGGCAGCCUCACGUCCGCUUGACGGGAGCUCAUGUCGCUGCAUGGCACAAGACGACUCGUUCGCGCUGUCCAUCUCGUGCGUCACCUGUCUUUGGUCUCUCGUUCACACGAGCCUAUCGUCGCACAUUCGAUCGUCCGAGUUUCUGUUGCCUCGAAAUGGCCUCGCGGCUAAACUAGAUCGACAGCAUGCUCGGCGGUGGGCUGCUUGCGAGGCAGCUGGCAAUAUUGGCAUGGCAGUGACGGGGUCCUGAUCGAGUAGGCGAAGAGACGAGCCGAAAGAGUGUCCCACUUCAACGUCGCUUGCGCUACAACAUUCCUGUUGCUCAGUGAUUGUCUCAAAGAGCGCGGCGGUAGGAGAGCUUGCAGGCCAUCAUGGUCGAGUUGCAGACUUGGUCAGACGCUCAGUGGCGUCGAAUCGUUGGUCAUAUCCGAUAGUUAUGCGAUCGCACUGCCUUUUUCCUUGACGGAGACUCGAUCUGCUUGGAUGAGCAGGCAGACGAGGUAUGGCAGCUGUAACACAAUGGGGCUUACUCUCGCUCGUCC